rnacentral:lncRNA from 1 species
GUCUCCUUCCAUAGUGUGGAAGCUUUGUUCUUUCACUCUUUGCGAUAAAUCUUGCUGCUGCUCACUCUUUGGGUCCACACUGCCUUUAUGAGCUGUAACAUUCACCGCGAAGGUCUGCAGCUUCACUCCUGAGGCCAGCGAGACCACGAGCCCACCAGAAGGAAGAAACUCCGAACACGUCCGAACAUCAGAAGGAACAAACUCUGGACACACCACCUUUAAGAACUGUAACACUCACUGCGAGGGUCCGCAGCUUCAUUCUUGAAGUCAGUGAGACCAAGAACCCACCAAUUCCAGACACACCAUGUUAACUGUAUCUGCAAAACAGAGCCGUGGGACCUCUGGAAGUCUGACCAACCUAUUUCCAACUGUGCUUCUAGAAGCAUGUUCUGUCUUCAGAAUCUGGUUGGCAUCAAUGCUGAGACCUAAACCACAAGCAUGAGGCCCUCACCAGACUCCACCAGAAGUGGCCACCCAAUAUUGAACUUCCCAGCCUUCAGAAUUGCCAACUGAUCUUCUUGGUAUACUUUAAUCCAGUCUCAGGAACAAGCAUCAGUGACUCUGGCUAAAAGCUCUAGAUAAUACUCAUUCUCCGGGCAGCAGACAAAAGACUUGGAGACAUACACAGCUGAAGGAAAUGAAAAGGCAACAAGGCUAAGAGAACAAAGAUGAGCAUUGCCACGGUCCGGAGGAUGGUGGUGGAGGAAGCCUUCUCUACGCUGGUGCCUCUAUUGGAACUUUCAGGAAAUGAACAUGGAAGAGUAGUUUACAACUGACACUGUUUGGAAUUGCUGGCACAUGGUGAUAAUCAAAGGUAGGCUGACUUCUUGUCAUUUAAAUCGUUGCUUUAAAAUUUACAG